rnacentral:rRNA from 1 species
AACGAACGCUGGCGGCAGGCUUAACACAUGCAAGUCGAACGGGCAUAGCAAUAUGUCAGUGGCAGACGGGUGAGUAACGCGUGGGAACGUGCCCUUGAGUUCGGAAUAACCAAGGGAAACUUUGGCUAAUACCGGAUAAGCCCGAGAGGGGAAAGAUUUAUCGCUGAAGGAACGGCCCGCGUCUGAUUAGCUAGUUGGUGAGGUAAUGGCUCACCAAGGCGACGAUCAGUAGCUGGUCUGAGAGGAUGAUCAGCCACACUGGGACUGAGACACGGCCCAGACUCCUACGGGAGGCAGCAGUGGGGAAUAUUGGACAAUGGGGGCAACCCUGAUCCAGCCAUGCCGCGUGAGUGAUGAAGGCCUUAGGGUUGUAAAACUCUUUUAUCCGGGAAGAUAAUGACUGUACCGGAAGAAUAAGCCCCGGCUAACUUCGUGCCAGCCGCCGCUGUAACAC